rnacentral:rRNA from 1 species
UACGUAGGUGGCAAGCGUUAUCCGGAAUUAUUGGGCGUAAAGCGCGCGCAGGUGGUUUCUUAAGUCUGAUGUGAAAGCCCACGGCUCAACCGUGGAGGGUCAUUGGAAACUGGGAGACUUGAGUGCAGAAGAGGAAAGUGGAAUUCCAUGUGUAGCGGUGAAAUGCGUAGAGAUAUGGAGGAACACCAGUGGCGAAGGCGACUUUCUGGGCUGUAACUGACACUGAGGCGCGAAAGCGUGGGGAGCAAACAGG